GAUGAACGCUGGCGGCGUGCCUAAUACAUGCAAGUCGAGCGAACAGACGAGGAGCUUGCUCCUCUGACGUUAGCGGCGGACGGGUGAGUAACACGUGGAUAACCUACCUCUAAGACUGGGAUAACUUCGGGAAACCGGAGCUAAUACCGGAUAAUAUAUUGAACCGCAUGGAUCAAUAGUGAAAGACGGUUUUGCUGUCACUUAUAGAUGGAUCCGCGCCGCAUUAGCUAGUUGGUAAGGUAACGGCUUACCAAGGCGACGAUGCGUAGCCGACCUGAGAGGGUGAUCAGCCACACUGGAACUGAGACACGGUCCAGACUCCUACGGGAGGCAGCAGUAGGGAAUCUUCCGCAAUGGGCGAAAGCCUGACGGAGCCACGCCGCGUGAGUGAUGAAGGUCUUCGGAUCGUAAAACUCUUUUAUUAGGGAAGAACAAAUGUGUAAGUAACUAUGCACGUCUUGACGGUACCUAAUCAGAAAGCCACGGCUAACUACGUG
rnacentral:rRNA from 1 species